rnacentral:rRNA from 1 species
AGUGAACGCUGGCGGCAGGCCUAACACAUGCAAGUCGAACGGCAGGACAGUAAGCGCUUGCUCUUACCGGUGGCGAGUGGCGGACGGGUGAGGAAUACAUCGGCAUCUUCUUUUUCGUGGGUGAUAACGGAGGGCAACUUACGCUACUACAGCAUACGACCUACCGGUGGAAGCAGUGGAUCUUUGGGGCUUUUGCGAUUGAUUUAGCCGAUGUCGGAUUAGAUUGUUGGCAGGGUAAAGUCCCACCAAGGCGACGAUCCGUAGCGUGUCUGAGAGGAUGAUCGGCCACACUGGAACUGAGACACGGUCCAGACUCCUACGGGAGGCAGCAGUGGGGAAUAUUGGGCAAUGGGCGCAAGCCUGACCCAGCCACACCGCGUGAGUGAAGAAGGCCUUCGGGUUGUAAAGCCCUUUUGUUGGGAAAGAAAAGCAGCAGGUUAAUACCCCGCUGUUCUGACGGUACCCAAAGAAUAAGCACCGGCUAACUUCGUG